rnacentral:piRNA from 1 species
UCAGCAGGAAGGUGAGAAUUCACAAGU